rnacentral:rRNA from 1 species
GUCCCAGACUCCUACGGGAGGCAGCAGUGGGGGAUAUUGCACAAUGGGGGGAACCCUGAUGCAGCGACGCCGCGUGGGUGAAGGAGUGCUUCGGCAUGUAAAGCCCUAUCGGCAGGGAAGAAGCAAGACGGUACCUGACUAAGAAGCCCCGGCUAACUACGUGCCAGCAGCCGCGGUAAUACGUAGGGGGCAAGCGUUAUCCGGAUUUACUGGGUGUAAAGGGAGCGUAGACGGCAGUGCAAGUCUGAAGUGAAAGGCGGGGGCCCAACCCCCGAACUGCUUUGGAAACUGUGCUGCUGGAGUGCAGGAGAGGCAAGUGGAAUUCCUAGUGUAGCGGUGAAAUGCGUAGAUAUUAGGAGGAACACCAGUGGCGAAGGCGGCUUGCUGGACUGUAACUGACGUUGAGGCUCGAAAGCGUGGGGAGCAAACAGGAUUAGAUACCCCAGUA